CUCCGCGUACCACACACGCCACACACGGCGGCCACUCACCAAAUCGAUACACCUUUCACUUUGGUCGUAUGAGCUGGUGCACAGCUGAGCAGGUGGCAGACCUCAUCUCCGUGGCACGCCUUCGCGGCGACGUCGAUCAGGCCACGCGCAAGUCGGCCGAUUUACGCUUCCUCGAUUUGUGUGCAAACGCCGUGAACGCCGGCGAUGUCCUCAUCCAUGUGGCGACGGACGGUAGCGCGUCGCCUGCGCUGCGCCUCAACGCGCUUCUGGCCGUCGAGACACUUUUCACAAACAAGGGCUGGUGUGAAGGGGCGCAGUUUAGCGACCGCAGCACCGUCACAAAGCGCCUUCUGCACCUCGUCGCUACGGACCCGUACUUCCUGGCGCAGAGAAAGGUCGACGACGGACUGCUGCGGUGCCUCGCAAUGAUCGUUGCGUUGGAGUUUCCGACGACGGAGUGGCAGGAGUGGGUGCGCCAGUGCGCAGUGAAGUUUGCAGAGGGCGACGCUCGCAGCUGUGCCGUGCUGUGUGCGGUUGUGGCGGAGAGCUACCGAAACUACUGCCUGUGGAGCUUUCUCGCCAACGAUGUCGUUGGCUUCCUGCUUCAUGCCCAGAUCAUGACACUGCCGCUACGAACGACUGUCAUGCGGCUGUUCCUUGACCUGAUGCGCAAGCGGCCUCGCCCCUCUGUCGAUCACGAGGUUGCCUCUGCAAAAAACUGCCUGCUCCUCUCUGCCGUAGUCCGGCAGCUCGUGCUGGCGGCGCUUCUGGAGCGUGUAGAGGAGUCGGGGCAGUUGACGGGGUCUUCUUCCGACAUCUUUGUUGCGGACUGCACCGCAUCCUUCGCCGUGGCUUCCCGGCUCGUCACCGACGCUGAGUCCGCCUCGAUCCUCUUUCGGUGCAGCUCUUUUUUUCUUGUCCGUCUGCAGGCCGUCGCCGCUGCCAGCGGCUGCGUAGUGCCCACAGAGCUGCGUGACUUCACGGAGCAACUGCUUGAGUGUCUCAUUAUCACCCUGCAACUCUACCCCAAUGUAGCCGGCGCCGACUUCACCGCCGACGGACUCCUCUCGUGCCUCAUUUACUUUAUGAUUCGCCCCGGUGCGCUAGAGCGGGCCGACGCAGCGCAGCUGUCGGCUGAGUUGCUGGAGUACUUCAUCGACGAUGAGGCGGUGCCCCUGGGCUGCGGUAGCGGCGACGCCGCCAAUCUGGCGGCGGCCGUGCUGGAGUUGUAUCUUGAGCACCAUUCUGCGCAGCGGCCUCUCGCCGUCGUGGCACUGAACGGACUGCUGCGUGCGACCCCGGUGAUGGACGGGUGUCUCACCGAGGCGGUGGCGCUGGCGCUGCGAUCUGUAAGCCGCGUGUACGAGGCCAGCGAGGAUGUCGUCGUCGAUGCACUGGAUGAUGCCGUGCAGGUGGAGAUGCUCACGCAGGUAUCGCAGCUGCUUCUCCGUACCACCGACCCGCACGCGCACGUCAUGUUGAUCGAUGCGCUGACCCACUGCUUCUACCGUUCGCAAAAUCAGUCGCUAUGCACGCAGCUGGUGGAGCUUUUGCAGCAGCUGUACAUGAGCAGGGUGGAAUCCAGGGACGAUUAUGGGGAGUGCGUGCGAUGCGCGUGCGUGUACGUGGCGGGUCGCCUUGUCGACGAGCUCCGCUCGCGCGAGUGGUGUGGGCAAUUACUGCCGCCGGAAUGGAUACCACUGGCCAUGCAGCAGCUGUGCAACGGAGACGCGUUCGGUGUCUUCAGCGCAGCCUCAACGCUGUGCACACUGCUGUGCGUCGCACCCGCUAGCGCGGUGCAUAUAUCUCGUCAUGUUGCCGUGUGGGAGGAAGGGCUUUCUCAACUCUGCCACCAUGCCACUCUUCGCAGCGUUGCGGCACUUCUGACCCUCACACUGAAACGUCUCUCCGGUCUGUCGCUUGCACCAUCCGCUCUGGCGUCCCUGCCGCACAACUGCGAGCUCGUAACCCGAUCUUGCAAUGUAGUGCUGGGCUUCUGUCGAACACCGUCCCCGUCGCGCCACCUCGUCCUCCGUUCGCUCGUCAACUUCUUUGCUGACCACACGCGAACGCUGCUGCGUGGUGAUGCACCCGCGGUUGCGAGUAUGUCGGUUUCUGAGCCGCUCUCCUCCCUCGCAGCUGCUUUGCUGACAGAGGAAUACGCACUGGAGCUGGCGCAAGAUGAGCCGAGCUGCCGGGGCUUAGCCACUUUUGCUGCCGUCCAUUGCAUAGCAUGCGGCAGCGUGCAACCGUCGUCAGCGCCAGCUGCGGCUUCUGCUCUCGUGAGUGUCCUGCAAUAUGCAGUGCAGCAGCGCUUCGCCUCACAGACCAUUUCGUGCGUGUGCAGUCACCUUACAUGUGUGCUGCUCACUCAGCCGGCGCAGCUGGACGAGGCAGCCCCGCGAGUGCUGCAUGCGCUGUUUCGCGACAGCAUCGACAUCGGCGAAGGCCGUAAAGGCGCCAACUACGGAGGUGUUGCGUUUCUCAUCUCCGUGCUGCUUCUUCGCUCACCUCACGCGCUGAUUCAGAGCGCCUGCUUACGCGAUGCCAGCGGCGCAGUGGGCGCAGCGGAGCAUCUGACCGGCCUUCAGCGUGGGUUCGGCUGGUGGCUAAGCCUCGCCCCCUUUAUGGACACAAUACAGUUUCUUUACUUUACCGCCGCCACGUGUCGUCUGGUGGAUGUGGUGGUGACGCUGCCGCCGGAAGUGCUUAUCAGUCUCGGCUGCCUGAAGACGUGUUGCCAGUACAUCUUGCCGUCUGCGCACGUAAAGAAGCUACCGUCUCGCCCACUCGCCGGCGGCCAUCUUCUGCAGCACCUGGCAGUUGCGUGGAUAGAUAUCGAUCGUCGAUACAGCCGGACAAGCAAGCCGCAGUUGCUCGAGAAGGAGCUACACCCCUUUCUCUUAUCGCUCGACAGCCUGUACGAACUCCUCUGCGGCCAGAGCUUCUCCUCCUCCACCGCACGGAACCUGGUCAAGGCAUCGCCAAGUGAAACAACGGCCGCCGUUCUGGGGUACAUGGAGCACCUCGGAUGGGCCGAUGUUCUCAGCGAAGCACGACAGCAGGUGCUCGCCGCACGCGUGUAAAGUUUUACGCGUCGAGAACGUCUUGUGUGCCUGGCGUCCCUCUCUCUCCCGGUUGCUGUGGCUUCAUUUCUCCCUGUGCCAAAUGCUGCGCACUGCCUUUGUCGACUACGAGGAGAGGGAAGCACGUCGUCUACUCCAUCCUCACCCGUUUUCUCUUCAAACUCAUAUGAAGCCGCCAC
rnacentral:misc_RNA from 1 species